AACUGCGAGUGAAGCGGGAAAAGCUCAAAUUUAAAAUCUGGCGGUUCUUUGACCGUCCGAGUUGUAAUUUAGAGAAGCGUCUUCCGCGCUGGACCAUGCACAAGUCUCCUGGAAUGGAGCGUCAUAGAGGGUGAGAAUCCCGUCUUUGGCAUGGAUUCCUGGUGCUUCUGUGAUGCGCUCUCGAAGAGUCGAGUUGUUUGGGAAUGCAGCUCAAAAUGGGUGGUGAACUCCAUCUAAAGCUAAAUAUUGGCGAGAGACCGAUAGCGAACAAGUACCGUGAGGGAAAGAUGAAAAGCACUUUGGAAAGAGAGUGAAACAGUACGUGAAAUUGUUGAAAGGGAAACGCUUGAAGUCAGUCGCGUCGACCGAGACUCAGCCUUGCCUUGGCUUGGUGUACUUCUCGGCACGACGGGUCAGCAUCAAUUUUGCCCCUCGGAUAAUGACAAGGGAAAGGUGGCACCUUUGCAGGUGUGUUAUAGUCUCCUGUCACAUGUGAGGGUCGAGAUUGAGGAACUCAGCAUGCACCUCUGUGGUGUGGGGGCUUUG
rnacentral:rRNA from 1 species